UCUUCUCGAGCGCAGGGAAUUCGGUGUUUUCCCGGGAAUGUCGCGGGCGCGCGCUGGUGUGUGAUGACGGUAGCGUCGCGUCACUGAGCUGUAGGGAAGGGCGCGCGCGUGUGUGUGUGUGUGUUCAUCUGUGAGGAGAAUCAAAGUGACCUGGCCUUAGCUCUCGGGCUAACAUUAGCUGCUAACCCUGCUGCUUCUCUGAGAUCGUCCAGCAUGUGAAGGAAUGUGAGCGCUGUCCUCAGCCCAUCAUUCGCCUGCUCUUCACCUUCAGCCUCGGCCUGGUCUGUGAGCAUCAUGACCAAAUCAUACGAGUUCAACUGGCAAAAACACAUUCCUGAUUUCCUGCAGGAAGGAGCCGUGUUUGACCGAUUCG